AGAGCGAACGCUGGCGGCAGGCUUAACACAUGCAAGUCGAGCGGGCGUAGCAAUACGUCAGCGGCAGACGGGUGAGUAACGCGUGGGAACGUACCUUUUGGUUCGGAACAACCCAGGGAAACUUGGGCUAAUACCGGAUAAGCCCUUACGGGGAAAGAUUUAUCGCCGAAAGAUCGGCCCGCGUCUGAUUAGCUAGUUGGUGAGGUAAUGGCUCACCAAGGCGACGAUCAGUAGCUGGUCUGAGAGGAUGAUCAGCCACAUUGGGACUGAGACACGGCCCAAACUCCUACGGGAGGCAGCAGUGGGGAAUAUUGGACAAUGGGCGCAAGCCUGAUCCAGCCAUGCCGCGUGAGUGAUGAAGGCCCUAGGGUUGUAAAGCUCUUUGUGCGGGAAGAUAAUGACGGUACCGCAAGAAUAACGCCCCGGCUAACUUCGCGCCAGCAGCCGC
rnacentral:rRNA from 1 species